AUAUUCCCCCCAAAUCACAAUCCCAAUUCCAAUCCCAAUUCACGCCAAAACCCCAAAAGUCAAUUGUGUCUCCCUCUUCCUCCCUCCCUCUCUCUUAAUCUAGUUCUAAACCACAAAUCACCGGAUCCUCUUUCUUCUCUCGAUUCACUUCGCUAUAAUCUCGCAAUUCCAGAAUGGUAUUUUAGAAUCUCUGUUAUCAGUGAUUCUUCAAUCUUAUUUGCUCUCUUUCUCAAGGAUUUUCCAAGUUUUUUUUACUCCUUAAGCAGAUUACAUUGUGAAACACUGAAACUCGCUUCCAAAGUUCGAAACUUGGGCAGAGUCACAGAGACAUUAAGUUGAUUAAGAUAAACUAUUAUAAAUUUUGCGGACGAACUGGAAAUUUCUUCGACAACACCAAGUAGAGAAGUUGGAAGAAUUACUUAAAAAUAAAGAAGUUUAUACCAGGCA